GGUCUCAUAUAGGAUAGAGGAUCGUUUUGAAAGCGAUUUUAGAGCGUUCGAGUCGUUCUGAGGCUU
rnacentral:tRNA from 1 species